UGGGGUGCAAACCCCGAGCGUCUACGCUGCCAUGAGGGGCGCGAACGCCUGGGCGCCACUCUGCCUGCUGCUGGCUGCCGCCACCCAGCUCUCGCGGCAGCAGUCCCCAGAGAGACCUGUUUUCACAUGUGGUGGCAUUCUUACUGGAGAGUCUGGAUUUAUUGGCAGUGAAGGUUUUCCUGGAGUGUACCCUCCAAAUAGCAAAUGUACUUGGAAAAUCACAGUAAGCAUUUUUUAAAAAGGUAUUCUCCUGGAAGUGGGUGUUGGCAACAGUGUGAGGCUGCUGCCUUUUUCCUCUGGUGUUAGGAUUUGAGUAAGAGGCAAAUGCCUGAAAUAGUGAAAUGUUGGAUUUACCCCAACUAUUGGGAAGAUUUUUAUUAAUAUAAUAGAUCUAGUCGUGUCCUGCAUUAGUGAUUACAAAGGGCACAAGAUAAUGCUUGAAGGAAUAAAUUCUCAGAGCAGAUGUGUUUCUGAAAGCCCAGUGUGACUCAGUUGAGUUUUAUAGAUUCAUAAUUAAAGCUGUUUUCAGUCAAAGGCCUGUUGUAAUGACCUUCAUAAGUUUUUUGUUGCUCGUGCCUUCAUAAAUUCCCAGUGGGAAAUGGAAGAUCAAAGAUAGUGCUUUGACUACUCUAUGCUCAUUAGGAAAGGAAAAAGAAAAAAAAUAAA
rnacentral:lncRNA from 10 species